rnacentral:other from 1 species
AACAACCUGAGAUGUGCGACAACUCCUGCUGUUUUUGAACCUACAGAUACUUUAAACGGGAUUCCUAUAUCAUCUGGCGGCUGUCAAGCCCUCACUCACCAGCCCGGUGAGGAUUGGAAGGGAAGGCAAAAGCGCAGAUUGCGGUCACCCACCUAGCAUUGCUAGGAGUCAAAAGGCAGGAACCGGCAUUUUGGGGAUAC